AGGGACACCAUUUGAUUAUGCCAUUGUAUAGAAAAGGGGUUGUUCAUCCAUGACUGUUGGCUUCCAUGGAAGUCCUGAAGCUAAGUGCUCACUGUACAAUCCUGCAAAUACAAGGGGGUAGCUCAAAGGUAAAAGUCAUAUAACUGAGGGGUGUACAUAAUCCAUUUAGAAAUAUGUUUUCAGUUCCAUUUCACUUCAAACCAUUUCAAAGUCAUGGUGACCCUAAGGUGAAUGCAUCAUGAGGUUUUCUUGGCAAUAUUUGUUCAGAGCAGGUUCACCUUUAUCUUCUUAUGAGACUGUGAAAUAAUGAUUUUGCCCAAGGUCACCCAGGGCUUUUCCAUAACUGAGCAGGGAAGCAAAUCAUGGUCUCUUCAGCACAGAAUUGUGCGGGAGGAUUUGCAAAAUGUCUGAAGUGAACAUAGUUUGUUGGGCUGCACUGGAGGCAGUGGAAAAAACAGCAAUCAGUGAACAAUAAAAUCCACAAAUGCUUAACCUACAAAUGUGGAGGGAUGGCUAUUUAUGUCUUCAAAACACCCAGACAAGAGAAGGUUUUCCAGGUCAAAGCUAGAGAUGGACUUUGCAGCAUCAUCAGCAUAAUCUAGUUUACAAUACUGCAGAAGGCCCAGACUCUGUUGGAAGGGACUUGGAUUAGUGACGCAAAACGGCUUCUGCUGCACAGACAGAGCUUAAUUAAUGAAAAGGGCCUGGAGGAGUUCCAGUGAUUCACUGAAAACGGAGGCCAUCCCACAGAAUAAAAGCCUGUCAUGGCAAAGGAAAAUGAGGGAUCCUCUAAAGAUGCCAGCCACAGAUGUCAGCGAAACAUCAAGAGAAAACAUCAGGAGAAAAUGCUGCUAGACUACAGCCAUACAGCCCAGAAACAUCACUACAGUGAUUCCGGCCAUGAAAGCCUUCGACAACACAUUAAACCUAGUUAAGAUUUACAGUCCAACCUUAACCUUAACCUAAAUAAAUGAUGCAAUUUCCAAAAGAAGUUUCAAUUAGUCCAUCUGGGAGAUAGGAUGUGUUCCUAAUCCUGUCUUCGGUUUAAGUUCAAAAUAAUUUAGUAACACUAUUGAUUUAAUUUGUAAAAAAAAUAUGUCAGUUUUGGAGACACAAUGGAACUAGUAAUCUUCAGAAAUACAUAAUGAAGCUUUACCUGUUGCAUUUCUACCUGUCACGUAGCACAGGAGCUGUGAUUGGAAGAAAAGGUGGCAGAGUCAAUUCUGCAAGAUGAAUACUUAAGAGAUCCCUUUGAACCCUUAAUUUGAGAAAACCUCAAAAGAUCUGAGCAUCUGUUUGAAAAAUUAUCUUCACUUUCUUUCAAUAACUUCUACACUGGAGAAAAGCUAUAAUUAACAUCAAAAGGGCAUAAAAAUCUUCUGGCAGAUAACUGUUUGCUGGAAUCAAGUGAAGUUAAGGCUUUUCUUUGUGUUUGUGCAUUCACCAUUUUGAAAAGACAUCAUAUUGACAACUGCACCAAGUUGCUACAUAUUCAUUUGUUUCAGAUUUUUAUAUUUCACCCUAGCCUUGUGGUCAGUGCUGUUUAGAACAAUAGCAAAGGAUCAAAUUGAAUUUAAAAUGUAAAUGCCAUUUCCUACUACAUUAAAAUAUUGGUGAAGAUUAUCUAGCUGGGCAAAUUCUAGAGUCUAGCAUUUAUGUGCUUCUCACACUAAAAUGAUAAAAGCAAGAGUAUCUUUUAAUUCAGAGCUGUAAGAGCAAUGGCUUUCCGGGUGUUAUAGGAUAGUGUUUCUCAAAUUCU
rnacentral:lncRNA from 1 species